GCCUAACGGCGACCUGUUGCUCCGCCUAACGCCCGAGCUGUUGCUCCGCCUAACGCCUGACCUGUGCUCGCCUCACGCUCGACCUGCUGCUCCGCCUCACGCCCAGCCUGUUGAUCGGUGGACGGGAAAGCGCGCAUGGCAUCGGAAGGAGCUUGAAAAGUAUAAGGUGAUGACAGUAAGUAACGUUACUGUGAUUUGUGAUCUUUCUGGGGUGUUAACUGUAAAGCAAUGGAUAAUUGCGUGAAAAUCAAACUAAAAGAAUGCAAUCUUGAGG